UACGUAGGGUCCGAGCGUUGUCCGGAAUUAUUGGGCGUAAAGGGCUCGUAGGCGGUCUGUUGCGUCGGGAGUGAAAACUUACAGCUUAACUGUGAGCGUGCUUUCGAUACGGGCAGACUUGAGGCAUUCAGGGGAGAACGGAAUUCCUGGUGUAGCGGUGAAAUGCGCAGAUAUCAGGAAGAACACCCGUGGCGAAGGCGGUUCUCUGGGACGGUACUGACGCUGAGACGCGAAAGCGUGGGGAGCAAACGGG
rnacentral:rRNA from 1 species